GCACGUUCUCAGGGCGGGGUGAAACUCCCCACCGGCGGUAACGGGAAGCAAUUCCUGGAGCCCGCGAGCGCUUCCCAGCCGGAUCCAUGUAUCUGGAUGGGAAGGUCAGCAGAUCCGGUUGAAUUCCGGAGCCGACGGUUAAAGUCCGGAUGAAAGAGAGCAAGC
rnacentral:ncRNA from 2 species